UACGUAGGGUGCAAGCGUUAAUCGGAAUUACUGGGCGUAAAGCGUGCGCAGGCGGCUUUGCAAGACAGAUGUGAAAUCCCCGGGCUUAACCUGGGAACUGCAUUUGUGACUGCACGGCUGGAGUGCGGCAGAGGGGGAUGGAAUUCCGCGUGUAGCAGUGAAAUGCGUAGAUAUGCGGAGGAACACCGAUGGCGAAGGCAAUCCCCUGGGCCUGCACUGACGCUCAUGCACGAAAGCGUGGGGAGCAAACAGG
rnacentral:rRNA from 1 species